GACGAACGCUGGCGGCGUGCUUAACACAUGCAAGUCGAACGGAAAGGCCCUGCUUUUGUGGGGUGCUCGAGUGGCGAACGGGUGAGUAACACGUGAGUAACCUGCCCUUGACUUUGGGAUAACUUCAGGAAACUGGGGCUAAUACCGGAUAGGAGCUCCUGCUGCAUGGUGGGGGUUGGAAAGUUUCGGCCGUUGGGGAUGGACUCGCGGCUUAUCAGCUUGUUGGUGGGGUAGUGGCUUACCAAGGCUUUGACGGGUAGCCGGCCUGAGAGGGUGACCGGCCACAUUGGGACUGAGAUACGGCCCAGACUCCUACGGGAGGCAGCAGUGGGGAAUAUUGCACAAUGGGCGGAAGCCUGAUGCAGCAACGCCGCGUGCGUGAUGACGGCCUUCGGGUUGUAAACCGCUUUCGCCUGUGACGAAGCGUGAGUGACGGUAAUGGGUAAAGAAGCACCGGCUAACUACGUG
rnacentral:rRNA from 1 species